AACAGGGUAGCUCAGUUGGUAGAGCAAUGAUAGCGAGGGAUCUAUGGGUCACAGGUUCGAUUCCUGUUCCUGGAAACA
rnacentral:tRNA from 1 species